GUGCUCGCUUUGGCAGCACAUAUACUAAAAUUAGAAUGGUACAGAGAUUAGCAUGGCCCCUGCGCAAGAACAAAAUAAAAACAUUUUGAUUUUAUAU
rnacentral:snRNA from 1 species